CCUGGCUCGGACACCUGCAAGCAAUCAUCUCAUCACCACGCUCACUUCUUAAGGUGGCUGCUGAGAGUGCUUCUUCGCUGGAUUAUUGUGUAACACUCAUUUCUCGCCAGUCUGAGGACCGCCGUUUGGUGAGCUAAAAGCCGGAGUCCGAGCUAACCUGAGCUUCAGUGAAGGAUUGUGUACAUAGCCCGUUCCCUUCCCGUGCCUGUGUUCCCCGGAGACCCUCUUCCUGUGCCCCCUCACCUGUAUAUAUCCGCACUUGGUGUCUGUGUGUAAAUAAAUUGUGAACUUU